GUCUAUGGCCAUGUCAUCCUGAACAAGCCCAAUGCUGUCUGAUCUCGGAAGCUAAGCAGGUUCGGGCCUGGUUAGUACUUGGAUGGGAGACCACCUAGGAAGACCAGAUGCUGUAGGGG
rfam:Pteropus alecto contig106699, whole genome shotgun sequence.